UUUUCAAUUUUGUUUGAAAUGUAAAAAUAUGAAUUUUGAUGAAAUUUGAAAUUUGAAUCUGAAGGCCUCCAGCGAGCUCGGUCACCAAAUGCAAUUUCCGUAUUUUAGAGGUGCUUUGUAAUCCUUUUGGAAAGAAAAAAGAGACAAGCCAACUAACUGACUGAAUCCAACACAACACAAGUUCACAACAAGGAGAAGCCACAUGCAUCACCAGUACACAUUAACCGCAAACCGAUCUUCACCUAAACAGCAUGCAUGGAUGCAUGCAUGAAGAUGAAGAGGCAACACCGAUGGAGUCGGAGUACUUUAUUUCUGGCCAUCCUAAGCUCAGCAGUCCCGCUCGCAGUAGCACUUGCGCUCGACGUGGUGCUGGUUGCACUGCCCGCGG
rnacentral:lncRNA from 1 species